UAGACUCCAUGGUCUAGUUUGUGGGCUGUCAUGCACCGUCAACAACUGGACCUUAUAUAGACAGGUGUGUGCUUUUCCAAAUCAUGUCCAAUCAGCUGAAUUUACCACAGAUGGCCUCCAAUCAAGUUGUGGAAAUGUCUGAAACAUGAUGAGUGGAAACACGAUACACCUGAGCUCAA